rnacentral:lncRNA from 1 species
ACCUGGUUUAUGAUGAUUUAUUACAGCAGCCCAGAGAAACUAAUACAGUACAGUGGGAACAGGGCCAAGGGAGGUGGUCAGCAGAAAUGAAGCACUGUCCGGAUGGUGUGAAAGUGAUCUAUGCUGUGGUCAGAACAGUGGAAGGCCAUGAACUUUGCCGGCGAGUGCCUUUGUUCUGAGUCAAAGUGUUCCUCGGUAUGUGAAGGACAUCAGGUCCAAAGGCUGCUAGUGACUGAACAGAUAACGUGAAUUCCAUCAAAGCUUGACUUCUGCU